CGGACGGGUGAGUAACGCGUGAGAAUCUACCUUCAGGUUCGGGACAACCACUGGAAACGGUGGCUAAUACCGAAUGUGCCGAGAGGUGAAAGGCUUGCUGCCUGAAGAAGAGCUUGCGUCUGAUUAGCUAGUUGGUGUGGUAAAGGCGCACCAAGGCGACGAUCAGUAGCUGGUCUGAGAGGAUGAUCAGCCACACUGGGACUGAGACACGGCCCAGACUCCUACGGGAGGCAGCAGUGGGGAAUUUUCCGCAAUGGGCGAAAGCCUGACGGAGCAAUACCGCGUGAGGGAGGAAGGCUCUUGGGUUGUAAACCUCUUUUCUCAGGGAAGAAAAAAAUGACGGUACCUGAGGAAUAAGCAUCGGCUAACUCCGUGCCAGCAGCCGCGGUAAUACGGAGGAUGCAAGCGUUAUCCGGAAUGAUUGGGCGUAAAGGGUCCGCAAGUGGCAUUGUUUGUCUGCUGUUAAAGAGUUUGGCUCAACCAAAUAAGAGCAGUGGAAACUACAAAGCUAGAGUAUGGUCGGGGCAGAGGGAAUUCCUGGUGUAGCGGUGAAAUGCGUAGAUAUCAGGAAGAACACCGGUGGCGAAGGCGCUCUGCUAGGCAAAAACUGACACUGAGGGACGAAAGCUAGGGGAGCUAUUGGGAUUAGAUACCCCAGUAGUC
rnacentral:rRNA from 1 species